ACUACAAUGCCUCUGACUUUUUCAUAGGACAGUUGGCCGAGGAAGACAAACAUAAAGAUGAAGUGCUUAAUUCAAGGUCACACAAUGUCGGGGAUGGACCUCCAGAUUUCCUUACUGACCUGCAUUAUCUUGUGGAUACCUGAGUGAAUUCCACACCACCCAUUUUAUAGAUGAAACCACUGAGACAUGGAGCAACUGACUGAGUAGUCACUGCCCCACCCCUGCCUGGAGCCUCACACAUGACUCGUCUCCUCUCAGUGACCACAGGAAAACAAGCUCAGGGCUCCCACUGAUUGUACAUUAUGAGACGGAGUCUUGCUAUGUUGCCCAGGCUGGUCUUGAACUCCUCACCUCAAGCGAUCCUCUCGUCUUGGCCUCCCAAGUGUCAGGAUUACAGGCAUGUGCUAUCACACCCAACCUGAUACAUUGCCUUUAUAAAUUUUUUUUUCUUUAUUCUAAAAACCAGAAAAAACAAAACUGGAUACAUGUGCAGAACAUGCAGACCAAGUGUGUUGGGGACUUGAGAUGCGUACAUGAGUGUUUGUGAUGUUUCCUGCCGAAAGCACAGGUGAGACGUGGUCUUGUAACACAGUGGUUAAGAAUGUGACUUUGGAGCCAGCCUGCUAGGGGCUGAAUUCUGACUCAGCCAUUUACUAACUGUGUGACCUUAGGUCACAGAAUUUUCCACACUCCUUGACGGAGGUGCUUAACCCUUAUCCAUCAGCAUUCUCAGACAGCACCUCCGGUUAGGGACAGUAUCUGACCGUCCGACAUCCCUGCAGCCCCCA
rnacentral:antisense_RNA from 1 species